GAUGAAGAACGCAGCGAAAUGCGAUAAGUAAUGUGAAUUGCAGAAUUCAGUGAAUCAUCGAAUCUUUGAACGCACAUUGCGCUCCCUGGUAUUCCGGGGAGCAUGCCUGUUCGAGCGUCAUUAUAACCCCUCAAGCUCAGCUUGGUGUUGGGGCCUGCUGCACUGGCAGCCCUUAAAAUCAGUGGCGGCGCCAUCUGGCUCUAAGCGUAGUAAUUCUUCUCGCUAUGGAGUCCUGGUGGAUGCUUGCCAUCAACCCCCAAUUUUUCUAUGGUUGACCUCGGAUCAGGUAGGGAUACCCGCUGAACUUAAGCAUAUCAAUAAGCGGAGGA
rnacentral:misc_RNA from 1 species